AGGAGGAGAUGUUCAGUGAGAUACUGCAAGUCAGUACUGCACCAGACUGUCAACAGACUCCCUGGACGAUUCAACAGUCAUGGGCUUGCCUCCCACUACAGCCAAUGGAGAACUACACUUCAGCACCUCCUUACACACCCGCAACAUUCCAUGUGUCAUCAGGGUCUCAUCCCUACCCCUGCCAGUCCUUCCCGUCCCCAGCUGUGGACAACUACAGCUUCACAAACUAACUAUGCCUCUCACAGGUCAGUGUCUAUGUGUAGCCAAAAUGGACUACAUUAGUGCACUAAAAUGCUGCUUUUCUAAAUUUAAAGUUCCAUUUGGUUAACUUAUGUUUUAAAUUUGCAUUGCCCUUUUUUAUUUGCACAUUUUUCACCCUUUUUAUCAGUCAAACGUUUUUCUUUUAAAAUAAAUAAAUGUUAAUUAGUUCACACCUACUGCAACACUCAAAGCAGCCAGUAGUCGUAGGUGUACAUCACCACAGACAGGACUUGUAGGGUCAAGAAAACAACCAGGCAUAUGUGUAAAUGUACUGCAAGCACUACAUAAUUCAUAGUUUCAGUGAAAGAAAAUGUAAUAAAUGUACAGCUAAACACAAUCACUCAUAGGUUCAUUGUAAGACACUGUAUUAUAUGUACACUAAAGCACUACACAAUUCCUAACUGCCCAAAAACUUUCAGGGCCAGGGUGCAGUCAAGCACAGCAUGUUAAUGUGGCUGACCAUUAAAAUGUUCUUUCAAAGCAUCCUACAAC